CAAUAUACGUGAAUUUAAUUAAUUAGCAUGUAAAUGUUAUAACAAGUAUAACGAUAUGCAAAUACUUGUUAUGAUUGUAAUAUAUAUAUAUAUAUGAAAAGUAGUCUCGAUUUCAUGCACGAUUUGAUGCAUAGCAGAAAAAUGAAGGAGAAAACAGAACGCUCGAUUUCGCAGUUCUUAAUGAUAAUGUUUAGCCAGUUUGCACAAUGUAACACAUAUGGUAAAAAAUUUGUGUCAUUUUUUUCAUUUGCGUGUCAAAUUCGUUUUUUCUUUUCUUUUUUUUUUUAAUCCUAUAUUGGCGUUAUAGUAAAUUUCAAUCUACAGUUGAUGUAUGCACAUAAUAAUACAUCAUUCAUUUUAUUUUGACAAUAUGAAAUGACGAUUUAUAUCUGUGACAAUUUUGCAAUAACAAAAAUGAACACUCCAUUAAAAAAACUUUCAUAUAUAUAUAAAAGUAAAUUAUUGCAAAGUUAAUAUCAAUCUAGGCAAUUUUCUUUUUAUCAUAACAGCUUUCAAACAAAUUGGUGAAGAAAUAAAUAGAAAAAAAAGGAGGUCAAAUAUUGGCUAUCUAAAUUAAGAAGAAAAGUGAGAUAUACCUCUUUCUACUCCACUUUGUUCAACCAUUCAUUCCUAUUAGCCUAUUAGCCUGCACUAACAUAAAUGUAUCCAUUGGGCAAACCUGUCAAAUAUUACAAUUGCUCAUAAAAUUACAAAUAAACUUUUCUUCUCGAAACCAACUGAAAUAGAUCACUCUCCAUCAAUUGCUGUGGCAUAAUAUAAUGACAGUUCAGGCAAGGACACUUUAGGCACAAGUGAUCUGCAUCCCCCUUUCAAAGCUUAAAACUGUUUCCAUUUUUACCUAGCCUGUGUAUGAUCUAACCAUGGAAAGAAUCAAACGAUUGCACGACGUGAAGGAAAUAUUUUAUGAUGUACACAGUGUGUCAACAAAAUAAUGAUAAAAUAAGCGAUAAUUUAUUACCAUGGAAAAUGAGGAAAAUUUUUAUCUUAUUUCUUGGAAAGAAGGAUUCUUCAAACUCAAAAAAAAAAAAAAAAACGUGUCCAGCAUUACGAGAAUAAUCACAAAGUGUAUCACGUUUUUGUAACUGGACUUUUGUACUCAUGCAUAAAAUAUAUAUAACUUGAAUUGAACCUCGACAAUUAAGGAGGAAAUGUUUUAAUGAAGUUCACUGAUUAUUAGUGUAAGAAUUUAUUAGACCAUGAGAAAUUUUACAUCAUCUACGUUCGGAGAAAGUGAGUUAAUUAAUUCUACGCUUGAGCGGUUUGAUUGAUUGAAAUAUUUUAAUUUCUUCUGUUAUGUUUCAGAUAUUU